rnacentral:rRNA from 1 species
AUGUAUGGGGUCCUGCUCAGACUUCUGUCAGUGGUCAUAAUUACUAUAUCAGUUUCGUUGAUGCUUAUAGUCGCUUUACCUGGCUUUACCUUAUUAAACGCAAAUCUGAUGUGUUUGAUAUUUUUGUUCAGUUUCAAAAACAUGUUGAACGUCUUCUCAAGCACAAAAUUGUUCAUGUCCAGUCGGACUUGGGGGGGGGGCGAGUAUCGCAACCUCAACUCCUUCUUUCAGUCGCUUGGGAUAGCUCAUCGUUUAGCAUGUCCACAUACACAUCAGCAGAAUGGUUCAGUCGAACGUAAGCAUCGUCAUAUUCUUGAAGCUGGUCUUACUCUUUUGGCCCAUGCAUCUGUUCCGUUUCGGUUUUGGAGUGAUGCUUUCACCACUGCAUGCUUUCUCAUCAACCGUACUCCUACUCGUGUUUUAAACAUGAAGACUCCCAUUGAGGUUCUCCUUAAUGAACAACCUGAUUAUACCUUUCUCAAGGUAUUUGGGUGUGCUUGCUGGCCGCAUCUUCGUCCAUAUAACAAGCGCAAGCUUGAGUUUCGUUCUAAGAAGUGUGUCUUCCUUGGCUAUAGCUCUCUUCAUAAAGGUUACAAAUGUCUUCAUGUUCCCACUAAUCGUGUCUAUAUAUCUCGGGACGUCGUGUUUGAUGAGCAUGUUUUUCCCUUUGCCAACCUUCCUGUGUCCACUGUCGAACCACCAUCCCUGCAUUCAUCCUCUGUUGCUUCUGACCAAUUUGAUGAUGUUGCACACUCUCCUUUGUUGUUACCUAACCAUGGUGCAGGAACCGGACGUGGAGCUCGUUUGGAGUUGUUGGAGGAUUCACCAUCAUCACCGUCGUCUUCUGGUGGGCAUGUCGAUCGCCCUAUGUUGCAUGGCAUCGAUUCGCGUGCCCAUGCAUGGUCACCCGACGAGCCCGUCACGCCGAGCAUCUCCACUGCUCGGUCUGCUACGCCAGUGAUCGCCGAGUCUCCAGCGGCUCGGCCUUUUUCACCAGCGGCCGCCGAGUCGCCCGUGGCUCGGCCCGUCACGCCGUCUUCGCCCGCAGCUCGGGUCCUCACGUCGCCUUCAUCAGCGGAUCGGCCCGCGACACCGGCCGCGCCACGGCCCACUAUGCCGAGCUCGCCAUCGGCCCGGUCUGGGAUGCCGGAGUCGCCAGCUGCUUCGUCUGCUCUGCCGGUUUCGCCGGUGGGCCGGCCUUCUUCGCCGACUGAGUCCGAGGCUACUGUGCCUGGCUCCUCGUCACCGGCUGACUCAUCAACGUCGCCGUCCUCCAGCCCGUUGCAGGCUGCUCCGUCGACCUUGGUGGUUCCUGUGUCUCGAUCACAUACACGCAGUCGCAGUGGCAUUUUCAAACCUAAGGAACGUACGGAUGGUACGGUUGCUUGGUUGGCUGCUUGUUUGGCUGCUGCUGUUGCGGAUCCAUCUUCUGAGCCUCGCUCAUAUCAGGCUGCCCUGCGCAUUCCACAUUGGUGA